GACAGAGGCCACAAGCGUUCGGCGGAAUCACUGGGCUUAAAGCGUGUGUAGGCGGAGGCGUAAGUGUCUUGUGAAAUCCCCCGGCUCAACCGGGGAACCGCUGGGCAUACUGCGUCUCUUGGGCCAAUCAGGGGCAGCCGGAACAAACGGUGGAGCGGUGAAAUGCGUAGAUAUCGUUUGGAACGCCAACGGCGAAAGCAGGCUGCUGGGAUUGUGCCGACGCUGAGACACGAAAGCCAGGGGAGCGAACGGG
rnacentral:rRNA from 1 species